CAGGGCAGCUCUAUAGCUCCUGCACAGAUGUCUGGGCCUGAGCUGUUGGCCCAUAAUUAUUACACAAGCCCAAAAAGUAAUAUUCAAAACAUGAAACAACAGUGCAGAGAGAUCAAACUAACACAAAACUCAUAAUAAAUGCUACAAGCCACAUAAUCAAACUGGUGCAUCAGCUGGACACCUAAAUAAAUCCCACAUUGGCACUUGGUGCCCACAUGCCCAUUGGAGCACCCAAAUAUGUGAAAAUAGUGCCUAGACUGUUUUCAUAUUUUCACCCAUAAAGCCAGAAAGAGACACUUUACUACCAUCACAAUCCCCACAAUCUACCACUUGCUAGAUCCCCAAAGCAAUGGCAAUCUAAGAAAGAAGCUCUUGAAACUUUGACUUUCAAACUAGUGACGGCACAGCCUCCGAAGGUUUGGAUGUGCUGCAGACAGAACCUCUGUUACCCAAGAAUUGAUCAUGACAUCAGGAGCUGUGGGAAUACUGCAAGGACAGCUAUUUUUCAAUAGUUUUCCAGUAUUUCCUCAUCUAUAUUGAUCUCUGAAGCCAGAGAGGUGGAUUUCAAAACAAGGUAAAAAGUCUAAUUUUAGUUGUUGACCUUGAAAAAAGGAUUGGAAUUAGUUUGGGUUUUGGAUAAGCUCUUAUUUCAUUCAAACGACCUUCCUCUUUCCUGCUUAUGUGGGUAAGUGGAUUUUUGCUAUAACACAAAGCAAUUUGAUUAAAAAAAAGGAAAAAGCCGUGUGUACAUUU